AGGACGAACGGCUGGCGGCGUGCCUAAUACAUGCAAGUCGAACGGUCUUUCUAUGGAAGCUUGCUUCCACUGAGAAGAUAGUGGCGAACGGGUGAGUAACACGUGGGUAACCUGCCCAUAAGAGGGGGAUAACAUCCGGAAACGGGUGCUAAUACCGCAUAGUUUUCUUGAUCGCAUGAUCGGGAAAGGAAAGACGGCCUUUGUGCUGUCGCUUAUGGAUGGACCCGCGGCGUAUUAGUUAGUUGGUGAGGUAACGGCUCACCAAGACGAUGAUACGUAGCCGACCUGAGAGGGUGAUCGGCCACAUUGGGACUGAGACACGGCCCAAACUCCUACGGGAGGCAGCAGUAGGGAAUCUUCCGCAAUGGACGAAAGUCUGACGGAGCAACGCCGCGUGAGUGAAAGAAGGUUUUCGGAUCGUAAAACUCUGUUGUCAGAGAAGAACAAGUUGGAGAGUAACUGCUCCAGCCUUGACGGUAUCUGACCAGAAAGCCACGGCUAACUACGUGCCAGCCGCGGC
rnacentral:rRNA from 1 species